rnacentral:rRNA from 1 species
AAUGGGCGAAAGCCUGAUCCAGCCAUUCCGCGUGCAGGAUGAAGGCCUUCGGGUUGUAAACUGCUUUUGGACGGAACGAAAAGCCACUUUCUAAUACAAGGUGGUCAUGACGGUACCGUCAGAAUAAGCACCGGCUAACUACGUGCCAGCAGCCGCGGUAAUACGUAGGGUGCAAGCGUUAAUCGGAAUUACUGGGCGUAAAGCGUGCGCAGGCGGUUAUGUAAGACAGAUGUGAAAUCCCCGGGCUCAACCUGGGAACUGCAUUUGUGACUGCAUAGCUAGAGUACGGUAGAGGGGGAUGGAAUUCCGCGUGUAGCAGUGAAAUGCGUAGAUAUGCGGAGGAACACCGAUGGCGAAGGCAAUCCCCUGGACCUGUACUGACGCUCAUGCACGAAAGCGUGGGGAGCAAA